GGGUCAGUAGGUUGGUCGUGCCACCGGUACGUACUGGUCUCACUGAUUCCUCCUUCCUGAAGAACCGUAAUGCCAUUAAUUUGGUGUUGCGGGGAAACAGGACUGUUACUUUGAAAAAAUUAGAGUGUUUAAAGCAAGCUAACGCUUGAAUACAUUAGCAUGGAAUAAUGAAAUAGGACGAUCGAUCCUAUUUUGUUGGCUUCUAGGAUUUACGUA
rnacentral:rRNA from 1 species